rnacentral:SRP_RNA from 1 species
GAUGAGAGGCCCCUGCGAGGGAGCUCUGUGAACCUGGUCAGGGUGGAAACACAGCAGCCAUAAGCAGUCGGCUUUUUGUGCGGUGGGCCUCUCAUCGGC